AUGCCUAGGGAUACGUUUAUCUAGCACGUCUUCUUGAUGUCAUGGCUGAAGUUUUCGAACACGUGUAGAAUAUACAUGGCUUAUCAACUGCUUUUUCCUUCCUUUUUCUAACUAAAUAUUAUCAUAUUCUUGAGUGUUUUGCUGUGGCGAAUAUGGGGGUGCAAGCCUUGCAGGAUUACGUUGAGUCUCAUUGUCCGAAAGGAUGCAAAUCGGUGGAAAUGAAGGAGUUCUUGAAGGAUCNAAAGAACGAGGGUCUUGAAGCAGUUGUUGUUCUAGAUGCCCUUAGCUGCGUACGCUAUUUGUAUGGAUAUAAUUCAGACUGGGUUUGUGGAGGACAAUGGAGCGAAAUGCUCAAAAACGUUGAGAAUUUUGUUCGGUCAUUUCGCCAGCAAGAUAUCCAGUUGGUAGUAUUUUUUGGUGGUGAAGGUGAUUCUGUUCGCCUAUUAGACUGGAUCAAGAUACAAGAACAACACAGAAACACGGUGCACAAAGUUCUCAAUCAUGUCGUGCGCCAAGCUAAUUUUCCACCUAAAAGACUCUUCUUCCUCCCUCCCGCUGCCAAAAUGUGUCUUCAGAUGGCAUUUCGUAGUUGCGGUUCUACUGUUUGUUGUUCUUUUUUUGAUUUACAUCAAGAACUCGUAUCCUACAGUAUCGAAGGAAAAUGCGCUGGUAUAAUAGGCCAUAACGCCGCUUAUCUUGUUCUCAACCCGCCAGCCUACCUCUCGGCAGAACAAAUUACCGUCACGAAGAAGAAUAUUUUGGUAAAACAUAUUGAUUUAGAAGUUGCAUACAAAGAGAUUGGUUUAAAGCCGUCACGUAUAGGUCUGUUUGCAAGUCUACUCGGGUCUCCAUUCAUUCCUGAGGAGACAUUAUCGUCGUUUCAUUGGUCACUUGUUGGAUCAGUCAAUCCUUCAAGCAACAAUCAGACAAAUGGUCAAUCUGUGUUACCGCCAAAUAAUGUGGUCAUUAGAAAAAUGAUAGAUUAUGUCAACCAAAUAAAAGAUAUCCAUAACUAUGGAUUAAUAGUCAGCCAGGUCUUCAAACAUAAGAAUGUUGAUUUAGAGCUAAUGCAAGAGAAGCUUGAGCAAUCAGUAAAGUACUAUAACAGCAAUAAAGAUGACAAAGAAGAAGCAGAGGAUAAGACAGAAAGUAAAGGAGAGAAUGAGCACCAGUACAAGAAACGCUGGCAACACUGGCAACAGCAUAACUUCAAUGCACAGACUGUUGUGCCGACACACAUUAAGGAGACUAAUGGACAAGAAGUAGAAUCUAAUGAUAUUGAUCAGUUACAAGAACAAUUAGGCCAGUUACAUGUGGUGGAAAACAAUGGAAUCUAUGACGAUGAAUCAAGUGCUGUUGUUACACCUAAAAGUCCAGUAUCAGCAUCUAUUGUACCUGGUCCGAAAGCUGUCUCCCCCUCGGCACUAGCAAUGAUAUCACCACCUUUAUCGUUCCCAACACCCCCACCUUCUUUGGAUGGGUCACCAUUGCCCGGAAACUUUGCUGACAAUCAAACACUACCUGUCAAUGAAACUGUGCCUGUCAAUCAAACACCAGCUGUCAAUCAAACUGCACCUGUCAUCCAAGCACAAUCUGUCUGUCAAAUACCACCUGUCAAUCAAACUGCACCUGUCAAUCAAACUGCCCCAAAUAUGACACCAGUGUCUGACCAUAUAGCACCACUAAAAGGAAUAAUUAAAACUAUUACACCACAAGUUCUGGAUGUUGUUAGACAACGCCACCAAUCUGGUCAAAUGAAUGAAUGUGUCUAUCAAAUCUUAACAAGAGCAGAGCUGACCGUAAAUGCUGCACUUGAAGAUGAACACAACACAGAUAACCAACCAACACCCUUGUUAUAUCGGCCAAUAAGACAACAUGUUUAUGGAAUACUGUUUGACAAAAAGGCUUAUGACAUGAAGUAUGGCACACAUGAUCCUCCUCCUGUCGUCAAGGAAUGGUGUGUCUACAGAGGGAAGAAGCUUAAGGAGCCAGACUUAGUAGAGGCUGUUAGCAUGAAAUGGAGUAUUCCUGAGCUUAAUCAGCUGUGGUUUGGUGCAGAAGCUACCGAUAAUCUAAACCGCAUGAAAGCAUUUUUGACAUGUAUGAUGAGUGAUACUCCGAAUAUGACCAAGACUACAAUGGUGCCUCAGAGACUCGUUAUUAUGUGCUGUGUUCUGAGAUAUCUUUUGCAGCAAGGCAAGGCAGGUCAGCCCAUUCUCUUGACACAUGAAGUUGAUGCAUUUCUAGCAGCUGCACUUUCUCCUCACAUUAGUACAGAAUUCAAUCCUUCUAACCUCAGCCAACUCAAGCUAAUGCAGGUAGAGCUAAGAGGAGUUCAGUUAGCAACAAUGUUCAUGAGAGGAAUAGAGGCUGCAUAUCUUGCUAAUGAUGCUUGUGGGUGUCCUGUCCCAUGGGAAUUUGUGUGUCCGUGGAACUACUUUGACGGCAAAUUGUUUAUGAGCAAGUACUUGCAGGCUGCUAACGAUGUUACUCCCUUAGAACUCUGUGAUGGCAAGAAUGCCAGAUUAGAAAAGCUUCAAAGGAUGCAUUGGUGUAUAAUGGAAGGGAUUGCCCCAGAACUGCUCGGCAUCCGGCUUCCUACCAUGGGUGGAUUUCAUGGGCCAGGAAUGCAUGCAGGCUCACCAAUGCAAUUUCUUGGGUUUCCACCCAAUAUUCCUGGUAUGCCACCAGUACAGUCUAACUUUAUACCUGCUGGUAUGAGGAUGCCGCAACAGGUUCCAUUAGCAGAACGCCCACGUACUAGAGGUAUGAGCAGCAAGCGUGCUGUAUCAGGUCUGGGUGGUACUCUUGAAGUAGCUGGUGUUCCAGUCGCAAAUUGGGGCGGUAACAGGGCAGGGCGUGACUACAGUGAGCAUAACCGAAUAGUUGCAGGGGGACCUGCCAGUGUGGAACUUCCCUCUAGAGGGCGUGGUCGUGGUGGCCGUGGUGCACGAAGAGGAGGUCAUUGGCAAAACACAAGAAAUGUGACAUGGGCUGUAGAGGUUGACAAGGAUUAUGAUCGACGUAUUGAAUACAAAGAACCUCAGAAUGCAAGAUCAACAAACUUACAUCAUCAAAUUCAAGAUCAACCUUUCCAUGUAGGCUUUGGAGAUAACGAGAGUAUGUUGCACCAAGUGCAGGGUUACCAUGGUAACUUGCCUACUACGAUACCUGACCCUUCAGCACAUCAUCCUAUAUUCACUGCACCUCUCGACAAACCACCAAUGAAUAUGCACAUGGCUAUGAAUCCUCACCCUCAGCCAAUCAUCCCAACAAGUGAUAAAGUUCCACAAAAUCAGGUACAUAUCUUAUCUAAACCUUCAGACAAGCUAUCUGGGCAAGGACGAGGUAGAGGUAUAGCUGCCUCAUUAGGUAAUAAUGUUGGAGGCAUACAACAAGGCCAAGUGAUGCCAAAGGGUCGUGGAUAUCUACUAGAAAACCCUAUACAGCAAACCCCAGCAACUUGAAUUCUUUUCAAAGAAAAAGACUUUGAAAUCCAGACAAUGAUUCAUUUUGAUUUUCUGCUUUAUGCUUUAAUUGUACUUUUCAACCUAUCAAGUUUGUCCUAAAAUAAACUUUUUUUCUCUUCUCUUAAAAAUUUCUUUGCACAAGUCACUGAUAAAUAAUACAGUACUAAGAAGCAUAUUACAUUUGGUGUUCUAGAUACAGGGUUAGGUUUUUGUCAAUGAUCAAGUACAAAGAUAUAGAAUAGCUGUUUAAAUGAAGGUUCAUAAUGUGAAGUAAUUCAAACUUCGUUCUUAGUGCGGUAACACUAUUGUCAUACAAACAACAUCAUUAACUAAAACAACAUUUGAUUAUAAAUAACCCAGUUAUGGGUAAUAACAGAAACCACUUACAGACAGCAUUGGUGUAGCGAUUGCCUGUGGCUGUUGCAUAAAGUUCUGGUUUGAACAGUAAUGUUUUUUGGUAAACGAUGAGUGAAGGUGCUGUAAAAUGGGUGACAAAGCUGUGAAAUUUUGAUUGCAACAUUGUAGUGUUAAACGUAUAGACUAAGUAUUAUUUCUUAUAAUUGUACAUUUUGCCUUUGUUGUGUGAGGGUUUUUUCUUGUCUUUACAACAAAGAAUUGUUAGCACUGAAUGGUAUUAUAAAUAAUUAGUAUAGGUUAGUAGAUCUUAUUUGAGUAAUAUACGCUGACUACAAGAAACUGUUUCACAGUUUCAGGAAAAUCACUCUCACAAAGUCAUACAACAUUGUUGCAAAAGUCGCACAACUAUGUUUCCAGUAUUACAAACCCUUCAGUUGAUACAAGUUGGUAUCUAUAAUUGCUAAAUUUUGAAUGGCUCUAAAGGCAAGACAUGCAUCAACUUAAACAUUCGGGUCUCAAAUCAUUAAGGAUGGUAAAAGGUUAUCGAUCAAAAUAUUUUCUAAUCACAAUCUGUUCUGGACCUUUAUUUGAUAAGUACCAAAAAUAUUUCAGUUGUGGAAUUAGACUACCUUUAGAUCGUUGCACAAUAUUAUUGUUUGUUAAUAAAGAUAGAGGUAUCAUUUAAUAAACCAUUAAUAAUAAUAAAGAAACAUCUUUUUCAUA
rnacentral:misc_RNA from 1 species